rnacentral:rRNA from 1 species
CUGGGAUAACUCCGGGAAACCGGAGCUAAUACCGGAUAGUUCCUUGAACCGCAUGGUUCAAGGAUGAAAGACGGUUUCGGCUGUCACUUACAGAUGGACCCGCGGCGCAUUAGCUAGUUGGUGGGGUAAUGGCUCACCAAGGCGACGAUGCGUAGCCGACCUGAGAGGGUGAUCGGCCACACUGGGACUGAGACACGGCCCAGACUCCUACGGGAGGCAGCAGUAGGGAAUCUUCCGCAAUGGACGAAAGUCUGACUGAGCAACGCCGCGUGAGUGAUGAAGGUUUUCGGAUCGUAAAGCUCUGUUGUUAGGGAAGAACAAGUGCGAGAGUAACUGCUCGCACCUUGACGGUACCUAACCAGAAAGCCACGGCUAACUACGUGCCAGCAGCCGCGGUAAUACGUAGGUGGCAAGCGUUGUCCGGAAUUAUUGGGCGUAAAGGGCUCGCAGGCGGUUUCUUAAGUCUGAUGUGAAAGCCCCCGGCUCAACCGGUGAGGAUCAUUGGAAACUGGUAAACUUAGAGUGCUCAAGAGGAGAGUGGAA